rnacentral:rRNA from 1 species
UACGAAGGGGGCUAGCGUUGCUCGGAAUUACUGGGCGUAAAGCGCACGUAGGCGGCUUUCUAAGUCGGGGGUGAAAUCCUGGAGCUCAACUCCAGAACUGCCUUCGAUACUGGAGAGCUCGAGUCCGGGAGAGGUGAGUGGAACUGCGAGUGUAGAGGUGAAAUUCGUAGAUAUUCGCAAGAACACCAGUGGCGAAGGCGCUCACUGGCCCGGUACUGACGCUGAGGUGCGAAAGCGUGGGGAGCAAACGGG